AACUCCCAAUGUUGAUUCAGAAGUAG
rnacentral:piRNA from 1 species